CGAACGCUGGCGGCGUGCUUAACACAUGCAAGUCGAACGCGAAAGGGACUUCGGUCCUGAGUAAAGUGGCGCACGGGUGAGUAACGCGUAGAUAACCUGUCUUCAUGUCUGGAAUAAUACGCCGAAAGGGGUACUAAUACCGGAUAUUCUUGCUUUUCAUAAGUUAUGCAAGCAAAGGUGGCCUCUGCAUAUGCUACUGCAUGAAGAGGGGUCUGCGUACCAUUAGCUGGUAGGUGGGGUAAUGGCCUACCUAGGCGACGAUGGUUAGCGGGUCUGAGAGGAUGAUCCGCCACACUGGCACUGGAACACGGGCCAGACUCCUACGGGAGGCAGCAGUGAGGAAUAUUGCGCAAUGGGGGAAACCCUGACGCAGCGACGCCGCGUGAGUGAGGAAGGCCUUCGGGUCGUAAAGCUCUGUCAAGAGGAAAGAAGUGUACAAUGGCUAAUACCUGUUGUAUUUGACGGUACCUCUAAAGGAAGCACCGGCUAACUCCGUGCCAGCCGCAGC
rnacentral:rRNA from 1 species